AACGAACGCUGGCGGCAUGCCUAACACAUGCAAGUCGAACGAUCCCUUCGGGGAUAGUGGCGCACGGGUGCGUAACGCGUGGGAACCUGCCCUUAGGUUCGGAAUAACUCAGAGAAAUUUGCGCUAAUACCGGAUAAUAUCUUCGAACCAAAGAUUUAUCGCCUUUGGAUGGGCCCGCGUUGGCUUAGCUAGUUGGUGGGGUAAAGGCCUAUCAAGGCGAGGAUCGAUAGCUGGUCUGUGAGGAUGAUCAGCCACACUGGGACUGAGACACGGCCCAGACUUCUACGCGAGGCAGCAGUGGGUGAUAUUGGACUGCGGGCGGCAGCCUGAUCCAGCUAGGCCUCGUGAGUGAUGAAGUCCGUAGGGUUGUAAAGCUCUCUUAUCCGGGGUGAUAAUGACGGUACCGGGAGAAUAAGCCCCGGCUAACUCCGUG
rnacentral:rRNA from 1 species